rnacentral:lncRNA from 1 species
AGUCAGUCAAGUGAAACCUCAAGGUCUGGCUCAUAGAUGAGCAGAAGCCUGAAAUAAUCAUCUGGGUAAUUUUGCUUUCCAGGACAUGUUCAUGCAGCUAGCAAUUAAGUCAGCCAUUCUUCAGUCAAAGCAUGAUGUCCUGAAGGUACUACAGCCUCUUCUAAGUUGUGUCCAAGUUGCUAGCAGCACAGCCAGCAGUGUUUAAGUGAUUCUCCCUCUUUUUCUUAUGAAGACCAGAAAAAAGUGCUCUGUGAUGGGAACCUUGAAAGACAAUCUUAAAGUUGUCUGGUAGGUUGAAACGGCCUAUGGUGUGUGAUGAACUAACUGAGCGAAACAGCAAUGACGUAGAAGCUUCACCUAUGCUGUAAGUCGUGUGAUUUACUGGAAGGGAACCAAAUGAUACACUCCAAGUGUUGAUGUGCAGUGUACAGUCAUGGCCCGUUCUGCCCGACUGGACGUUUUCCUUAUUACUGGCUUGUAAAUUGAAUUUUCAUCGUGAAGCCAAAUUAAAAAUGAAGGAGAAAAUGUUCUGUUUCCUUUGGAUUAUUUUUUCUUACGCACGUUUGUG